CAGCCGCCGCGGGAAUACGUAGGGUGCAAGCGUUAAUCGGAAUUACUGGGCGUAAAGCGUGCGCAGGCGGUUUGUUAAGACAGAUGUGAAAUCCCCGGGCUCAACCUGGGAACUGCAUUUGUGACUGGCAGGCUAGAGUAUGGCAGAGGGGGGUGGAAUUCCGCGUGUAGCAGUGAAAUGCGUAGAUAUGCGGAGGAACAUCAGUGGCGAAGGCGGCCAUCUGGGACAACACUGACGCUGAGGCACGAAAGCGUGGGGAGCAAACAGGAUUAGAUACCCCCGUAGUCCCUGUCUCUUAUAA
rnacentral:rRNA from 1 species